UGGAAUAUCGCUGUAGAUUUUCUGUCUAGGACUUUAAGAAAUUGCCCUGAUUGUCAACACCUGGCAUUUAAAAGUGCAUUGUGGUCUGUAAUUGUAUGCUGUUUCUUGUCUGCAGAAUGGUUGGCGCGUCGGUCUCCAUUAUGAAUUGUUAAGUGUUAUUUGAAGCUCGUAGAAGCCUUAUGUGAAACGGGGCAUUUAGCACAACCCUGUUGUGCACCUUUGCCUUGCUGCUUUCAUCCUUUCCACUGGCUAAAAGAGGACUUGGAGCAUUGGACUCUGUUCUACUCUACGGCUCUUUAUACCACAUCCCGGAUUUUGAAAUUGAAAGAAUGGACUAUCGGCUAUGAGUACUUGAAUUGUAUAUGGGAGUGGUCUCUACUUGCACUUUAUUGAUGCUUUUUGUAUAUGUGUUUUGACUACAAAUAUUUUUUCAUUAUAUAAUCAUUUAAAUUAUUGAGGUUUCUCUUGA